UUGGUGGCAGAGCUGGAGGUGAGCAGAGCUGCAGCCCACAGCUCCAGCAGUGCAGAGCAGAGGAAGCCUAAGGCUCUGACACAACUGCCCAAGGGGCCCUCCCUGAGGGAAGAGAGGACUCACCCCAGAGACAACCAGCGAGGGAAGUAUCCUGUGGACCUUGGACAUUGGACUUAAAAUACCUUCUUAGACCAUGAGGGCCAGCUUAGAUGCAGAGUGGUUACUAAAUGAUGACAGAAGUUACUGCUCAUGAAGAUGAAGAACCUCGAGCCUUCCAAGCAUUGUUCAAGCUUCCCCAGGCAGCCAACAGCCUUUAGGGCUGGCCUCCACCGUACCCAGCCAGAGUACCAGCCUGACCAAAACCAGGAAUGACACUGCUGAAGGGUUUAGGUAAAGCUCAACCACCACCAAUCCACGUGGGCACAGGCACCUGGGGAAAUCUCAAAGCCUCUGACUUCAAAGAGCUUCCAUCCCUUCCUUCUCAAUUGUCCUUGCAAUUGCACCGUUAGAUGUAGGGACCA